GACCGCGUAGCUCAGUUGGAAGAGCAUUGGGCUAGUAUUCCAAAGGUCGUAGCCUCGUAGGUUCGAAUCCCACCGUGGCCG
rnacentral:tRNA from 1 species